CCUACGGUAGGCAGCAGUGAGGAAUAUUGGUCAAUGGACGAGAGUCUGAACCAGCCAAGUAGCGUGAAGGAUGACUGCCCUAUGGGUUGUAAACUUCUUUUAUAAAGGAAUAAAACGAGGCACGUGUGCCUUUUUGCAUGUAAUUUAUGAAUAAGGAUCGGCUAAAUCCGUGCCAGCAGCCGCGGUAAUACGGAGGAACCGAGCGUUAGCCGGAUUUAUUGGGGUUAAAGGGAGCGUAGAUGGGUUGUUAAGUCAGUUGUGAAAGUUUGCGGCUCAACCGGAAAAUUGCAAUUGAUACUGGCAGUCUUGAGUACAGUAGAGGUAGGCGGAAUUCGUGGUGUAGCGGUGAAAUGCUUAGAUAUCACGCAGAACCCCGAUUGCGAAGGCAGCUUACUAAACUGUGACUGACAUUGAUGCUCGAAAGUGUGGGUAUCAAACAGGAUUAGAUACCCUGGUAGUC
rnacentral:rRNA from 1 species